rnacentral:rRNA from 1 species
GCCAUGCGAGUCAUUGUAGCAAUACAAGGCAGACGGCUCAGUAACGCGUAGUCAACCUAACCUAUGGACGGGAAUAACCUCGGGAAACUGAGAAUAAUGCCCGAUAGAACAUUAUGCCUGGAAUGGUUUAUGUUUCAAAUGAUUUAUCGCCGUAGGAUGGGACUGCGGCCUAUCAGUUUGUUGGUGAGGUAAUGGCCCACCAAGACUAUUACAGGUACGGGCUCUGAGAGGAGUAGCCCGGAGAUGGGUACUGAGACACGGACCCAGGCCCUAUGGGGCGCAGCAGGCGAGAAAACUUUGCAAUGUGCGAAAGCACGACAAGGUUAAUCCGAGUGAUUUGUGCUAAACGAAUCUUUUGUUAGUCCUAGAAACACUAACGAAUAAGGGGUGGGCAAGUUCUGGUGUCAGCCGCCGCGGUAAAACCAGCACCUCAAGUGGUCAGGAUGAUUAUUGGGCCUAAAGCAUCCGUAGCCGGCUCUGUAAGUUUUCGGUUAAAUCUGUACGCUUAACGUACAGGCUGCCGGGAAUACUGCAUAGCUAGGAAGUGGGAGAGGUAGACGGUACUCGGUAGGAAGGGGUAAAAUCCUUUGAUCUAUUGAUGACCACCUGUGGCGAGGCGGUCUACCAGAACACGUUCGACGGUGAGGGAUGAAAGCUGGGGGAGCAAACCGGAUUAGAUACCCGGGUAGUCGCAGCUGUAAUGUAUGCAAACUCAGUGAUGCAUUGGCCUUGUCCYCAGUGCAGUGCUGCAGGGAAGCCGUUAAGUUUGCCGACUGGGRGUACGUACGCAGUAUGAAACUGUA